rnacentral:lncRNA from 1 species
CGGCCGCUGGGUGCAGCCGAGCGGUGUGGAGCGGAGAGAAUACUCGAAGGGCUCUCCUGAUACUAACAGUUUUACGAUUUAAAACUUCGCCAGAAUUUGUAUGUGACGCAUUCCCAGACUCUUCAGCCAACUGAGCAUCAGCUUCUUCACAGCAAUUGGGUCCUGAUUAAUGUCCUCCCAAGACAGACUUCAUUGGAUCCACGAUCAAGAGGACUCUGCCAGGUUUUUCUGACCCCUCUACAUUGCUAUAAAGUGCCAAGGCCUUAAGACUUGGGUACGUGUGUUACAACGGCAAGAGUGCCAGCGCCAACAAAAGACCCAUUGGACCUGUCAGCUCCUCUGUUUCACCAAGCAGACACAAUAACCUUACCAACAAAGCAGAGUAAGCCAAGUGCCUCUGUGUGACACCACCAGCAGCUGAUGACGCAUAAGAAAAAUAUAACUAAUUUAGACUAGAGCCCUAUCUCUUCUUGAGAAGCUGGGAUUUGAAGGAGCUAUCCUGAGAUCUGUACUGCUAGUAAGUGACUGAUAACAUUAUAAACUGGAUCGGUCCCUGAGUUCAGAGACUGAGUUGCAAUUGAGUGAAAAAUAGACAACGAAAUCUUGAAGAAUUGCACGGAGGUGCAAGCCAAGUUUAUUUGGCUCUCCAAAUAAUAUUGGUUGAACUAAGAAAUUGGUAAACGAAACCUGUAAUAGGACUGGUGUUUGGGCGUCUCUCUCUGUCACUGUUGUCUCUUGCUGUCACAUUGCUGUCUGUGUUGUCUUUCUAGGUCCAGAUGUUUUCAGAUAAUUCACAUUGCCCUGAUUGUGGACAACAGUGGUUCCCUAGUUUAGAACUAGGCCACUGGUUGUACCAAACUGAACUUGUUGAAAAUGAAUGUUACCAGG